rnacentral:rRNA from 1 species
UACGUAGGGGGCAAGCGUUGUCCGGAUUUAUUGGGCGUAGAGAGCUCGUAGGUGGUUCGGUAAGUCGGAUGUGAAAUCUCCAGGCUCAACCUGGAGGGGUCAUUCGAUACUGCCGUGACUAGAGUUCGGUAGGGGAGUGCGGAAUUCCUGGUGGAGCGGUGAAAUGCGCAGAUAUCAGGAGGAACACCGGUGGCGAAGGCGGGUCUCUGGGCCGAUACUGACGCUGAGGAGCGAAAGCAUGGGGAGCGAACAGG